rnacentral:snRNA from 1 species
GUGCUCGCUUCAGCAGCACUUUUAUACUAAAAUUGGAACGAUACAGAGAAGAUUAGCGUGGCCCCUGCGCAAAGAUGAUACACAAAUUCUUGAAGCAUUCCAUAUUUAA